rnacentral:rRNA from 1 species
AUUGAACGCUGGCGGCAGGCCUAACACAUGCAAGUCGAACGAGUGGCGGACGGGUGAGUAAUGUCUGGGAAACUGCCCGAUGGAGGGGGAUAACUACUGGAAACGGUAGCUAAUACCGCAUACCAUCGGAUGUGCCCAGAUGGGAUUAGCUAGUAGGUGGGGUAACGGCUCACCUAGGCGACGAUCCCUAGCUGGUCUGAGAGGAUGACCAGCCAACCGGGAACUGAGACACGGUCCAGACUCCAACGGGAGGAAGAGGGGGGGAAUAUUCAACAAUGGGGGAAAGCCGGAUGCGGCCAUGCCGCGUUAAUGAAGAGGGCCUUGGGGUUGAAAAGUACUUUAAGCGAGGAGACGUUACUCGCAGAAGAAGCACCGGCUAACUCCGUGCCAGCAGCCGCGUUAAUU